GACGAACGCUGGCGGCGUGCUUAACACAUGCAAGUCGAGCGGUAAGGCCCUUUCGGGGGUACACGAGCGGCGAACGGGUGAGUAACACGUGGGUGACCUGCCCUCAGCUCUGGGAUAAGCCUGGGAAACCGGGUCUAAUACUGGAUAUGACUCCAUGACGCAUGUUGUGGGGUGGAAAGCCUUGUGCGGCUGAGGAUGGGCCCGCGGCCUAUCAGCUUGUUGGUGGGGUGANGGCCUACCAAGGCGACGACGGGUAGCCGGCCUGAGAGGGCGACCGGCCACACUGGGACUGAGACACGGCCCAGACUCCUACGGGAGGCAGCAGUGGGGAAUCUUGCGCAAUGGGCGAAAGCCUGACGCAGCGACGCCGCGUGAGGAUGA
rnacentral:rRNA from 1 species